CGGAUCUGUGGGGGGGAUGGCUCAGUAAUGGCUGUCUCUACCCGGACGGCGCGGCUGGUAACAGGCGCGUCGAUGCGUAGGCACGAAAGCAGGCGAGGUGUAAGGGUAACGGGUGGAGCCGACCUUGAAGGUAUUGAGCCCCGAAAAGAACAUGGGUGAGUGCCGACGGGUUUGUCCCCCCGGCAGGCAACAGACCGUGACGCGCUGUGGCGAGUGGCACGGGAACUCCCCGGGGUCCGAGACCA
rnacentral:ncRNA from 1 species